rnacentral:rRNA from 1 species
UGGGGAAACCCAGUGUGAUUCGUCACACUAUCAUUAACUGAAUCCAUAGGUUAAUGAGGCGAACCGGGGGAACUGAAACAUCUAAGUACCCCGAGGAAAAGAAAUCAACCGAGAUUCCCCCAGUAGCGGCGAGCGAACGGGGAGGAGCCCAGAGCCUGAAUCAGCAUGUGUGUUAGUGGAAGCGUCUGGAAAGGCGCGCGAUACAGGGUGACAGCCCCGUACACAAAAGCGCAUGUGCUGUGAGCUCGAUGAGUAGGGCGGGACACGUGGUAUCCUGUCUGAAUAUGGGGGGACCAUCCUCCAAGGCUAAAUACUCCUGACUGACCGAUAGUGAACCAGUACCGUGAGGGAAAGGCGAAAAGAACCCCGGCGAGGGGAGUGAAAAAGAACCUGAAACCGUGUACGUACAAGCAGUGGGAGCACCCUUUGGGUGUGACUGCGUACCUUUUGUAUAAUGGGUCAGCGACUUAUAUUCUGUAGCAAGGUUAACCGAAUAGGGGAGCCGGAGGGAAACCGAGUCUUAACCGGGCGUUAAGUUGCAGGGUAUAGACCCGAAACCCGGUGAUCUAGCCAUGGGCAGGUUGAAGGUUGGGUAACACUAACUGGAGGACCGAACCGACUAAUGUUGAAAAAUUAGCGGAUGACCUGUGGCUGGGGGUGAAAGGCCAAUCAAACCGGGAGAUAGCUGGUUCUCCCCGAAAGCUAUUUAGGUAGCGCCUCGUGAAUUCAUCUCCGGGGGUAGAGCACUGUUUCGGCUAGGGGGCCAUCCCGGCUUACCAACCCGAUGCAAACUGCGAAUACCGGAGAAUGUUAUCACGGGAGACACACGGCGGGUGCUAACGUCCGUCGUGAAGAGGGAAACAACCCAGACCGCCAGCUAAGGUCCCAAAGUCAUGGUUAAGUGGGAAACGAUGUGGGAAGGCCCAGACAGCCAGGAUGUUGGCUUAGAAGCAGCCAUCAUUUAAAGAAAGCGUAAUAGCUCACUGGUCGAGUCGGCCUGCGCGGAAGAUGUAACGGGGCUAAACCAUGCACCGAAGCUGCGGCAGCGACACUGUGUGUUGUUGGGUAGGGGAGCGUUCUGUAAGCCUGCGAAGGUGGCCUGUGAGGGUUGCUGGAGGUAUCAGAAGUGCGAAUGCUGACAUAAGUAACGAUAAAGCGGGUGAAAAGCCCGCUCGCCGGAAGACCAAGGGUUCCUGUCCAACGUUAAUCGGGGCAGGGUGAGUCGACCCCUAAGGCGAGGCCGAAAGGCGUAGUCGAUGGGAAACGGGUUAAUAUUCCCGUACUUGGUGUUACUGCGAAGGGGGGACGGAGAAGGCUAUGUUGGCCGGGCG